GAUGAAGAACGUAGCGAAAUGCGAUAAGUAAUGUGAAUUGCAGAAUUCAGUGAAUCAUCGAAUCUUUGAACGCACAUUGCGCCCAUUAGCAUUCUAGUGGGCAUGCCUGUUCGAGCGUCAUUUCAACCCUUAAGCCCUGUUGCUUAGCGUUGGGAGCCUACAGUACUGUAGCUCCCCAAAGUUAGUGGCGGAGUCGGUUUCACACUCUAGACGUAGUAAUUUUUUCUCGUCUGUAGUUGAGCCGGUCCCCUGCCGUAAAACACCCAAUUUAUCAAGGUUGACCUCGGAUCAGGUAGGAAUACCCGCUGAACCUAAGCAUAUCAAUAAGCGGAGGA
rnacentral:misc_RNA from 1 species